UGAGCCCUAAACUGCCCCCUCAGAACCCUCCCUUGCAUACCCUGUCUUAGCCUCGGAUAACUUCUCAGUUUCCGUUCUUGCUGAAGGCGCCAGGCAUCCUGUCUCCAGGGGAAACCCCUUCAAGCCUUUAACCCUGAUUCCUUGGGCUCUAGAAUUGCCUGGACUGAAGAACAGUGCAGAAAUCACCCUCAGGAUUAUCCAUUUCAGGAGCCAGCACAGUGUUACCCAGUUCCUAGCUUGAGUACCCUGUGGCUACAGAGUGUUAGGUCCAGUCCCCUUCCCCCGGAAGCUUACUAUCUUGUUGCAGAGAAGGGGUGGGGGGUGUUGUGCUGGACUCCAAGAACCAGGCGGCAGAGGAUGUGACUAAGUGUAAGAUAUGAAUAACUGACAGUAAGGCCGAGGGUUUUAACGGAGUUUAAAGUCAUCCUCAGGGAAAGCUGGAGGUCUCAUGCUGGGAACCUCCAAUUCACAAUUCUACUCUGUAGAAACAAAACGAAGAGGCAGCCUCCAGCUUCUUCCACUAGCGACUGUUCCUAGGUGAAUUAUACUUUGCUCUUUGACAGCGCACCAAACCCUGGUUUUAUUUGAAUGGUGUCUUUGGCCCGUCACCUAGUCACUCAACAAAUAUUUAUUACAUAUCAUGCCCUGGUCCAGAGCGAAGUUGGGAAGAGAGAAUACAAUGACUAUGUCUCUGUGUUUGGCAAGGAAAAAAGAAGGAUCAUCUUUUGCAAAAGAAAAACUGCCCCAGGAGAAAGAGCACCUGGGAUAUGUCUGGCAAGCUGAUCCAAGAGACAGUUGCCCAGCCUCCAAACCUGGCUGAGUCUUCACCAAGCUAGGUACAAAGACAAGUUCACACUUCUUGCUAAAGGUUCUUGCCAGUCCCACUGUACCCCUGGACAGGACACUACAAGUUGCUUACCACGAGUCAGGGUUGUAACAAGCUGGGCUUUGGCCUCACGGGACUAUUCCUUUCCGAGGUUAGCUGUGACGAGGCGAGCCAAGGCAACCUUCAGAGUAACAGCAGUAAGUCAUACUCCGCUAACAAGCAAAGCACCCCCAUCCCCAUCCUUUAGAUUCCUCCUUUACCUUCCCUGGUCUCCUAGUUAGAUGUGGCCAACACCCGACUCCUGCCUGGGACAACCCCUGGAACUUCAGAGGGGGCAGGUGUAUCUGGGCCAGGGAGCCCUGUCUCCGAGGCUCCUGCUGGACAGGCAGCUACCUGACAAAUGUGCCUCCUCCCACACAUCUGGCUCCUGUCCCUCGAAUGUGCCACGUUCACAUCCUGGAGGAAGGGACAGCAAGAUGCCAUUUGAGGAAGAAAUAAACCCAAUCCAGCAUCUCGGGCACUUUUAAAAAUAGCAACCCCAGGAUGGUAUUUCAGCUAUUUUUAUCAGAUUUAUAAAGCCGGACCGUGGCGUUGAACUGUUCUCAGGGAUCUCAAUAGCAGGAGACAUCUCUAUUGUAGUGUGUAAAACCUGCAAGCAGGCCAAGGCUAAAAUGCAUUCCAGGACCCUUUGGGUUGGAAGAAAUCCCAAGCAUGUUGCUCCUGCCUGCCUUCAGAGCCCAAAUCAAUUAACCACAGUUUGUGGCCUUUUUCCUUAAAAUCUAAGCUGGGUGGAGUGGAACAUGGCUGCAAUCCCAGCACUCAGAAGGCUGAGGCAGGAGACUCAGAAGUACCAGGCCAACCUAGCUUAUAGACACUGUCUCAAAAACAACCGGGCACGGUGUAAAACCCAGGUGCCAGUGUGUAACACAAGUACCAUUGAGGAUGCUGCCGUCAUGACCUAAUCACUUCCCAAGGGCUCUGCCUUUAAUGCUGUCCCCUGAGAUGUUAGACUAUUAUACAGAGGCUAUGGCAAGUAUCUAGUCCCCAAAUCUUUUAGAUCACUCUCAUGGCAGGAAAACAGCUAAAAUUUAUUAAUAGUCCUAUGCUUAAAAAUCUUUUUUUAAAAAAAUGUGUAUAGGUGUUUUGCCUGCACAUGUUUGUGUACCUUGUAAGUACCUGAUGCCUGUGGAAGUCAGAAGAGGGCAUGGGAUCCCCUGGAACUGCCAUGUCUGUGUGUGUGUGUAUCGGGGUGCGGGGGGAGCCAAGCCCAGGAACUCUGGAAGGGCAACCAGUACUCUUAACCACUCUGUCAUCUCCCCAGCCCCUUAGGAAAUCCUCAAGUACCCUGUGGAGUAAACAUGGCUGUGAUCCCUAUUUUAUGAACAAAAUAUAAGUCGCUCCAGUGUAUACUUGUUUAUGGUGUGGAGUCUUAAGCUGGAGUCAUUUUGCCUCCCAAAGUAGACAAACAGACUGAAGGGACAAACUAGAGGAACAGAACAUUACCCAUUAGGCUUGGGGAGGCAAAGUUUUACUCAUGAGGAUAGAUUAUUAAGAUCUGCCCUCUUCCCUCCAAUUCUCUCUUGAGGAAAAAUGCUGUAAUGAAACUCAAUGGCAGAAUACUUGCCUAGCAGGCAUGAAGCCAUGGUUGUUCAAUCCUUUGAGCUGCAAAAAUCUAUAGUAUUAUAGUAUUGUGUUACAGUAUUAGUAUCGAUUGAUAGAUAUAUUGGGCUAGAAAGAUGGCUCAAUAAUUAAGAACACUCACUAUUAAAGGACACUGUUGAGGACUCUGGUUCAAUUUCUGGCUUAACGAAAUACAGUUCCAGGGGACCUGAUACCCCUAUUGGCCUCCAUGGUCACUGCACACACAUGGUACACAGACAUACAUGCGGGAGAAACACCCAUAUACAGUAAAUACAAAACUUUAAAGGUAUAUAUGAAAAGUAUUUUUAAAGACUUUUCUCUUGAUAUUACCUAAUAAAGUAGAACAAGUGUUUACAUUGCACAUUAUAAGUAAUCUAGAGGGGAUAGUAUAAAGGAUUUGGACUGACAAUAUUAUACCCCCUAUAAUGCUUGAACAUCCAGAGUAUGGGCCUUGGGGUGGUGUGUCCUAUAAUUAAAAUCCCAGGUACACCAAGGUAAAGACUAUUCUAGUGUUCUGGACAAGGAACUAUCACAGGAGAAACGUUUUCAAAUAUUUGUGCGUGAUUCUUGUUUCUAAUCUCAGAGCUCUUUAUUCAACAGGGACAUGCAAAAUGGAGCUUGAAUAUAUAUUCUUUCUCUUGGCCUUGUGCUGACAAUUCUGCUCCAUGAGAGGGCUUUGGAGAGCACAGAGAAGUUGAAGGGCCACAGCAGCCACGUGUCCUUUGCUUCUCUUCAGCCAGGUCGGAAGAGCCAACACUAGAGGCUAAAAGCCAUUUGCGAAGGUGUCCCUGAUUUGUCUGGGAAGGGCGACAUCUGUCAUUGCCCCAGCGUGCAUGCGAGGAUCUCAUUGCCAGAGCAGGGCUGGCAUUUGCAGUUUGCUCAGGGAGGACCGAGUGUAAUGCAUUCUGCUCAGGAAACUUGGUCCCAGGAGACAGACGUUGUGCUCUGGAGUGACAGCAGGAGGAAAGACUGAGGCAGAAAUACCUCCGCCCUGCUUUGGGAACUCAGGCCCAGUUCCAUUCCUGUGCUCUACACAUUUGGUGAGCGUAGUUCCACAGGCCCUAGGGCAGAAGUCUCAGCUUCCCAGGGCUGAUAUUCACCCUGUAAGGAGGCACUGAGUGUUUGUAAAAUACUGAAAGCUCCACAAAAUGACUUGUUACACAAAUGUAAGCCGUCACAAUGUUGAUUUGUCUUAAAUCAGUUUUACCCAGCCAGGACCCCAGGUGUUAGGAAGUUCGAAUGAAUGGUAAGAUGUUCUCAACUCUGUGGCCUCUCGGUUCUAAAGGAAAGGCAACAAGCCAACAGAUACAGCAAGAAUGAAAGGCCAAGGAUGUGAGGCUACCCAGACGAGUCGUGUAGGAGUCUGUCAGUGAGGGGACCCCACAAAGACAAAAAGGGUAUUGUUAGGAUCUUAACACCAGAUUGCAGCCAGGCCGCCUGGCAGAAACCUCAGUGAGAUGAGACACUGGGGGCUCGGAGAUGGGCAUGGGGUGCUGGGGUCUGAGGGGAAAGCCGCAGUAAAGAGAACUGGCUGACUCUGAAGGGACCCUUGCCAGACCUUAGGCAGAGGCUGGUCCUUUCAAAUACAAGAAAACUUAAGAAGCAAGGCCUGGAAGGAACCUCUGUGACACCAGGUAAGUAAGGUAUAUAUCACUAUCCCAGGGAGGCAUCUCCUUGCAAAAGAAGCCAAAAGGAGGACAUAAUUGGCUAACAGGAAUGGGGAACCAGAAAGGUUAUCCAGAGCACAGGUCUAUGCCCUAGGGAGGAGGAGUACCUGGCCUUCCCAGGCUUAAUUACUACCCUUGCAACUAUGACCCCAUGACCUCACUAACCUGUCUCCAUGAAUAAGCAACUGUUCUUUCCCUGUAGGGGAAAACAUCAUCCCAACCAAGCCAGACACGGUGAGAUUAUAGCACGUAACAAAAGUCAGCCUGUAUGUGAGCCUGAACUCACAGGCAGCACAGCUGGCAUGAGCAACCGAGAGCACGCGAAGUGGUAGGAGGGUUGUGUGUUCUGGAGAGGCCUCAUCUGACACCAACACCUCCUGUCCCCAGGGCUCCAGGGCACAUUCAGUGCCAUCUGCUUUCAAAGAAGAGGAGCAAGUGAGACCCAGGAAUCUGCCCUGCAAGCUGAAUGCAGCUCUAAGAAAAGAUCUGUCAGCCUUCUCUCUGCAAACCCAUAACGCCGCCCAGGAGAGCUUUUUCUUUCUGUUCAGGAAACCACUAGGUUUUGUGGCAGCCCAUGAACAGAUCUGGCUGACACUUGUAACAGAUACUCCUGCUUUGGUUACCACCAGAAUAACUGCAGGUCCAUGUGGUGGCUGGGUAUACUCCUCAACGCUGGGGUGCUUGAACUGCAGAAAAGGCUGACUUAGGACCAGGGUAGCUUUAUUGUGCCUCACUUAAGACUUGCUAGGGGCUAGAGUGGCCUCAGGUUCUGACCAUUCACUCCAAUUCUUUUUUUUUUUUUUUUAAAUAGGGAAUCUCUCAGAGGCACCAAGGUCCAAGUGCUUGCCACUAUAGGCAGUGACAAGGGGUCCCACUGAGGGACUCCCAAAUAUAAUAGUUGGGCACUGAAUCAAAGCUCUUAGUUCUCAGGCCAGGGGAUGCAGAGUCACAGCCAUCCGCCUUCCUCAUGCUUUCGCCCUGGUCACUUCAGAGUCCAAUGCCCUGCAUCUCAGAAGAGAGCUUCCAGAACAGGGCACAAUAUCUUUAGCCUUCCCCUGCCCAACAGUAAACACUAGCUCUGCUCUGACAGUAGGAUACAAUUGUCCUUUGUGCCGGAGGGUGAUCUCAUGGUGCUACGUGUUCUGGUGAACAGUGGCGGAUGUCACCCUUCUGUGGUAGGCUCCUGCCAGCACCAUGGCUGAUCAUCAGCCCGUGAUACCCUGACAGCCUUGAGAUUCUGUGAGGCACAGCGCUGAUCAGACAGUCCCCAGC